rnacentral:tRNA from 1 species
AUUCUUUUAGUAUUAACCUAGUACAGUUGACUUCCAAUCAAUUAGUUUCGGCAAAACCGAAAAAGAAUA